rnacentral:lncRNA from 1 species
AGAUCAGGCAGGCAAAGAAAAAAGCUAGCUCAGAAAAAGUUUCCUAUUGCUGUUUCAGCAACACCUUUGUAGAUUAUGUUUGAAUGCUGACACUUACUUGAAUGUAUAAAUUGACCUCAGCACUCCUGCAGAGAUAAGGGAAAUUGCCUCCUGUUUUGAGAUGAGCUCUUCUGGCAUUAGGAUAAAGCUUAUACAUUUCUUCUUUUGCUUCAGUUGAGAGUGCACUCUGGUCAAACACCUAUGCAACAAGUCACAACAGUUAAUUCUGAAUCCAGUCAGAUUCUGCUUAUUAAAUGAAGUGGACAGAUCCUGUAUCUAGAAGCAGUUGCCAGCUUGUCUGUGGAACAGUUUUAAUGAAACAGAAAACAAGCAAACAAGUCAAGCAUCAGUGACUAGAAAGCUAACAGAUAGGUAAACAUUGGGGUAUUCUGUGCAGUAACAGCCAUUAAUUCAACACAGAAGAGCCACUCUCUUAUUCAGUCAGUAGAAAAGCUAUUUAAAUACAAAAUUAGAUGCUGCAAAUAUUUAUUAAGUUGCUAACACAAUACCCAGGCCCUGCUUUCCAAGAGGAGGAAAUGUUUGGAAAAAAAGUAUUUAAAAAAUUAAGCUGAAAUAAACUUACAUCCAUAAUAGUUACAGGGAUGUCUCGAAUUUUAUGAGGUUCCACGUAGGAGUUCUGGCAAUUAAGGGUAAGUCUCGAGGCAAGCUCACUCUGGCCCAGACUCUCCAGCUUUCAGUAGAGACAAAUACUGAUUAAUAACAUUUCACUGCGGGAAGUUAAUGCAAUAGUAACAACAGAGCCAAAGAGAAGACAGCUCCUUAGUUUUAAAGGGAAACAUGACUGCACUUCAGAUGAAGAUUAUAGUUCCACCUUAAUAUCUUGCUGCAUGAGACAAAUAUUUAAAACAUUUAAUUGAUUGUUCCUGCCUCCAGAGUAUAGCCUACAGGUGCAUCUCAGCACUUUUUUCCUAUUCCAUCUCUUUCUUAGCCACCUCUCUUCCAAUAUACAUAAAUAAAUGGAAUAAUAAGAUAGAAAAGUCAAAGCACCAGUUAAAUUGCAAGGGCUGUCACAGCCAGCACCUGCUGUGAAUUCACCCACUGUUCAUUUCCAGGUAAGUAAAUGAAGAAAGCAGCAGAAGUAUCUACAGCCUCCCGUCUACUAAUCUCUCAGAAAGAUUGACAUUACAGUAACUGGAGUACACAGCCACCUACCCUGUCCACCAUGAAAUCAAUCCCAUCGGCCAUUUCAGGAUCUACAGGACCAGAUGCAAAAUUCCCAAGGACAAUUUUUUUCAGCAUAAAAGCAGGCAUCAGCCAAAAGCUAAAACAGUAACAAGAUGUAACAAUCAGAAUUAAGACGCUUUCUUUUAAGCCCUCCCUUUUCUUGCCCUGACUUUGUGCAAGAAUUUCAAAGGAAAUUGUGAAGAAGCUUCAAGAGCAGAGCAGAUGAAAAACCAUGCAGAUAGGUGAUUGAAACGCUCUGGAAAGCUGCUGCUGCAUUGCAAGGGUGUAUUUUAAACAUGGUGAAUAACACUUUCCUCACUCUAAAAUGUUUUGCUGGAAAUCAAGUAGAAUUCUUACUGACCACGUCCUUAGAGGAUCACAGGAAAUAAAUACAAGAGUAGUCUGUCAAAUUCCACAUUCUCAAUUGUGAUAACUUCUGUUUCCUUUAUAGUGUGGUUUUAAAAGUCACAUGCAUUCCAGCCCUCACCAUUAGGCAUGCAGGCUGAAAACAAGUUAGACACACGUCAAACCAGAUCAGUGUGAAAUUUCAUGAGAAAACAUAUGAAUGCCACCAAUCUCAUUGCUUGUCUCAGUCUUCCUUACCUGUUUGCUGUCCAUGUCUGAUUGAAGAUGGAAGUAUCACUAAAGGCAUUACACAGAAUCAGAGAUUGAACUCUGGGAGAUUUGUGUGUGUAUUCAGCAAAUUUUUGAGCCAGAAAGCCUCCUAGAGAAGCUCCAAAAAGGUGAACCUAAUUCAAAAAGGAAAAACAAAACAAACAGAUCACGUUGCAUUUGAGAAGUAAGUGACCCUUAAGGGUCAUGCUACAAAAAGUCAUUCAAAUUUUACCUUGUCCUUAUAGCUCAUUUUUAAAGGAAAAAACAAACAAAAAAACCCUUUAAUAUAGGUGCUUUGAUUUACAGGAAGAGAUAAAUACUGAAAAAAGGAAGUGUUUCCUGAUCACACUUCUAAUUUCUGUGUGCUCAUCAUGCUUAAGUAAAAAGUGAACAUUUCACUUUAUAUUCAGUAGUUUUUUCCAAUCCAAGGUACUUUAUAGUGGUAUUCUGUACCACAUGAGUUAUGAAGGAUAAAUUCAGUAGGAUCUCAUGAAAAAAAACAAAAAUGCAGUUGGCAGUACAAUUUAAUAGGCCUACAACAGCAGUGAAUUUAGUCAAAUUUUCAAGGGAAUUUCCUGUCAAAAAUAAACUGGUUUCAAAAAUAAACUUGCAACACAGCCUCUUUAUUUAUAGGCUGGUUUUGCAUCAUGUGCUAUACAUUUGCUCUUAAAUGAGACUUUCAAACAUCAGGCUUUUAUGGCAACUAUAUAUCCAUCUCUGGGCACUCACUUUAUCCAGCUGAAGGUGGUCUAACAGUUUUCUGAAUCCAUCACAGAACUCAAGGUGAUCCCAGUACACCGGGUACUGCAAAGCAAUAACUCUGUAACCCCAUCCAGUCAGUGCCAAAAUUUGCUGGAAAAACACAUCUGCAGUUCCACUUACAGGAGGAAGAAAUAUGAGUGGGCACCGAAUGCUCCUAGGUCCUGCAUCGUACAGCGACCAGACUUUACUGUCAUCAUCAUCUACUAUUAUCUUUUUAAGAGGAACUGUGCUUCUGAACCAGUUGUAGUCAGGAGAGACUUUAAUCUCUCCCAUGAUGUUUGGGAAAAUCUCAGGUCAGACUCCGCGCAGCGCUCGCGGCUCGGCCCUCCCCGGCUCAGCGGGGCGCGGUGCCGGCUGCGCCGCUCUCCUCUGCCGCCGGCCGCUACUUCCGGGUGCUGCCCCGCGCCAGCCACGUGACGGCAGGACGAGGCGCCAUCGCUACCGAGGCGGAAGAACAGAAGCAGAGAGGCGGAUCCCGUGGCCACGCCUGCGGAUCGUGAUUGGUCGGCGGGGCUGCGAGGGCGCUUUCGUUGUCCUGCCGCACGUCUUCAGUAUUUCCCCUUUGUGUGUGUGCGUGUGUGUGUCAACAGACUAAGAAAAAGCCAUGACAGCUCUCUGCUUGGGCUUCAAUCCCUUCUGUGAUCCGUCAUGCCACCCAGCGGGGGAUUGCAUUAUCUGCAGCUGUCUGUGAGAAACGUCGACUGAUUUGAAGUGGAAGCACUGCUGAGGUGAACACUACUUCAGAAAGUUCCUGGCAGGACAUGCACUGGUGGGUUUAGUGCAGAUUAAAGUCAGGUUAGCAGCUGCUGUAGCGUUAAAGUUGUGUGUUACCAGAUUAAAACCAAGAGGACCUGAGCAGAAGUUAGGAAUGGCACUCGGUGCCCAUCCUGCACACAGCUGUGGGUCACAGCACGGUUACCUGCAUGGCCUCCAGCAUUUGCUAUAGGGCCCCUCGAGGUGAGAGCACCAAGUGGUGCAUUCCAUCGCUGAGCCGUCACUCAGAUUAACAGCCAGCAUCAAUUUGCUUCAUCUAACUGGGGUGUGACGAACCGGAGCUGGAGGUGAGCAGGAGGAAGGAGUGAGCUGUGAGCUGUGCUGCAUUCCCCAUGAGCUGUGUCUGGGGGUACGUCUCGCUGCUUGGCCCAUGGGUGGCAUUUUCCUCCUCUGACUGAGGAUCACCCAACAGAGGGCUCCAUUUCUCCCGAGGUUGUUCCAUUUCUCUUAAUGAUUUCCAGCUGCUUUUUGAAAAAAAGUCUUUAUGGUAAGUAUUUCUCUUGUAUUUAAGAUUGGAAAGCAAAAAACAACGUGGUGUUUUCAGGGCUUCUGGGAAGAGACGAGGUGAAUUGCUAUCAAAAGUGAGGGAUUACCUAAAAUUGAUGUGCGGAAGGGAAGCGGAGCUGCCCGAACUCGCCGUGUGACUGCGGGAGGCCGCAGGGCGCAGCAGCACCGCCCGCACUACGCUUCCCACCAUGCAACGCGGCGCGUCCUGCUGCUCCCUCGUCUCCCACGAGGACUACAUCUCCCAGAAGGCCCC